ensembl:lncRNA
AUGUGUACUAUUUUGUUCAACCAUUUUAUGUCUCUGAUCCUUUGUUUUCCUUAUUCUCCCAGCAGCUCCUACUCUACUCUAUUCCAUCAGAAGCUGAAAGGUGUUGCAGCUUUGCCCUUCACCUAUUCUUUCCACUACACAGGGCUACCUGGAAAACCACUUCAAACACAAACAUUUUGUCUUCCAUCUGGCUCAGCUGCACAGAGCCUCACAAGAGUAACAGGACUGUUGGGUUCUUCUCUGAUCUCCAUCAGGUACUCUCAGACUACGACAGAACAUCUCACAUCCCUGAUAACCUUUACUUUGCGGUCUGACUGGCAAAUGUCAGGACAGCUUGAAGGAAUCAAAUACCCUGGCAGUGGGGAUAUCUGGGCCUCUUGGCAAAUCACAGUGCUGUGCCUGCAGUGCCAUUAGCAUGGAACUGUUGCAGCGGGAAGGGACCUUUGGAGGUUUAUGGUCCAGCCUCCUUUUCAAAGCUGGAUAAAGACUGAAUUCAUGCCAAGUUUCCAAGGGCUUCAGCUAGUCAGUCUUUGAAAGUCUCUAAGGAUGGAGACUGUACAGCCUCACUGGGAAACCUGUUCCAAUAUUUGAAUAUUUUAACUAUGGAGAAAAGUUCUAUCUUUUCAGAACCUUCCUUUGUUCAACUUCGGCCUUCUGUGCCUUGGCCUUCCACUGUCCACCACACUGGUAGACCAGCUCUGUGGUCUUGCUUGGUAGGGGCAGGCUUCCAUCAGGUCCCCUCAAAGUCAUCUCUUCUCCAGGCCAAACAAGGCCUGGUCCGUCAGCAUCUUCUCACGGGGAAAGUACUGCAGCUCUGAACUUUUUCUAGUUCAUUAAUGCCUUUCCUGUACUGGGGGUCCAAAACUGGAUGCAGUAUCUAGAUGUGGUCCCAAAAGUGUUUAAUAGAGGGGUAUAAUCCCUGUCCUCAAUCUCCUGACUGUGUUUCUGUUGACGUCUACUGGUAUGUUGAUACUCCAUUUGAACAGAAGUCUAAAAUACUCUAUAAGACAUAUUACAAUGUCUUAUUUUGUAUUUUUUUCCUGUAUCUGUAUGCUAUCUGGUUCAUUUGUGUGUGUUUUGUGUUUUUGUUGUUGGUGUUGUUGUUUGUUUGUUUUGUUUUUAUCAUAAACCAAAAUAGCAUGCUAUUAUUUUGCCAUUAAUCCAAACUACAACUUUAAAUCAAACCAUACUCUUGAAAAAAAAAAGUUGAUCUCACCCUCUUCUGAGGUAAAAGACAUCCUGUAGUUCAGUCUAACAUACACUGCCAUUGUCUGAUCAGAAGGUGAUGCUAUUAUGGAUAGCUUAUGGGAAUAACAUAGAAAGAAGAGCUGAUGCUCAUACAACAGUGUGAUAAUUUUGUAUGAUAUAUUUCACCCCUAAGCAUCUCAAAGAGCUUUACAAAUUGAUUUAUAUUCUACACACAAGGAUAAUUUAUUUCAUCCAUACAUUUUUAUUAGCUCUGCAGCAAUAUUUUAGUUUAGGACAGGAAUUAAAGGCCAUAUCAAAUCCAAAAUGCAAGGUGAACAUACUUACAAAGAAUCCCUCACAGAGUUCACUUCAAACUGCUUUCUUUCAAUGCUGCACCACCAGCAAGGUAUCAUUGCUGAAAUAUUAGGCUAUUGAAGGAUUUACUGUCCAGAUCUGAAAUUGAGAGAUUUAGUGUGUUCACAAAAAUAGUUGUAGCUAGUAUACUUAUGCAAAGAGUGAAUUGGGAUACUUUUUUGCAGCUUAUAAUCGCAAUCAUUUUAGAAUAUACGUUUCUGUUUCUGUAGUUUUCCUGGUCAGCUUUCAUUUCCUGAUAAUUUUUACAAUGGUGUGAUGUGAUUGAGAUGACUUACAUGAGAGUAUACAUCAGUUAAAAUUGUAUUUUUCCAGUGGGAUUCAUUUGGAUGACUUUAAAGUUACCUAUCUUGAUGAAUGAUUCCAGGAAAUAAUCAUUCAAACGUUUAUCCAAUUUCAACACCAAAUUUAUUCAAAAUCUUGUUCCACCAACCAUUCUUCUUACUCUAUAUUUGUAUUAACACACUGUUUUUAUUUAUUUUGAAUAAAAUAAAUGUUGAGUGUCUUGGCA